UACGGAGGGUGCAAACGUUGCUCGGAAUUAUUGGGCGUAAAGCGCACGUAGGCGGACCAUCAAGUCGGAUGUGAAAUCCCUCGGCUUAACCGAGGAACUGCCUGUCGAACUGCUUUGCUUGAGGCCGGGAGAGGCGAGUGGAAUUCCCAGUGUAGCGGUGAAAUGCGUAGAUAUUGGGAGGAACACCAGUGGCGAAGGCGGCUCGCUGGACCGGUUCUGACGCUGAGGCGCAAAAGCGUGGGUAGCAAACAGG
rnacentral:rRNA from 1 species